UGCUGGAGCAAUGUGGCUUCCACAGAAGCAAAGUUUAUCACUGCAGGGAGCCAGGCAGGACAGCCCUGACUGCAUUCCCCAGGGCUUAGUGGCGUUGCUUAUUUUGAAACCAGCACAAUUGUUCACCCUCCUGCUUCCUUGGAGGCUGUGUCUAACAGCAUGACUUUGAAGUAGCAGUAGAAAAAGAAAUAAACUCACUCUGCUUUUCCCCAC